UCUGGAUUCAGUGAACAUUCUCUUUAUGCUUCUGUCACCGGUGUGAAUCCAAUUUAAUCUGAUAGUAGCCAAAACUCUUAUUAACCAACCAAGAACAGCUGUUAGUUUGCCAGAUUGGGGUGUGGCCCAUUAAAAUGGCCACAAUGUCUUACCAGGAACACAAAUCCCUGUUACUGGUGGUAGACCUAGCUGUAAAACACUAUUCUGUCAGGAAAUUAUGGUAUCCUAAUGAUGAUUUCCAGGAGAUUAAGCUUCCUUUCUGUCUGCUGUUAGACUGGGGGAAAGCAGGAACUGCCAUCUUCUCUGGAGAACCAGAGGCUGUGCACCUGUAACACCUGUGUAUUUCAUGCAUGCUAGCUUGCCUUUGCAGACAGUCACUAUCACCGGCAAUCCAAAAGAACCUGAUUAUCUGUUGCUGUAAUAAACCAUACUUGAUUGCAUUGUGAUAGCUCUCA
rnacentral:lncRNA from 1 species